UUACAUUUAGCAGUCAUGUCUCUUUAGUCUUCUCUUUACUUUGAAUCAUCAGCAGGCACUGAGGCUUAGUGCCAAGCAAGAAAGACACAGACAAGCUUAUUUUUUCUGCUACCACUUUCAACCUUGAAUACAGACCUCUGGGUAAUGUCACACUGGAUACUUGCUGAAUAUUUGCUGAGGACUUCUUUUAUGUUUGUCUCAGCAUUGGUUUAAAACAAGAUCAGGGCUAAGAAGAGCCAAGCUGCUCUUGCAAAGGUCUUCCUUCAUUUGCCUUUUCUCUCCCAGACUUUCCAGCACCUCCUGCUCUCCUGCAUAUUGAUCUGCGACUUGACUCUGGACUUCAUGUGUUCAUGUGUUUACAUGUUAACUACUUGGUGAUUUCAGUAUUUUUUACAUGACGCAUGAACUCAGCAUGACCAAUUCAAAACUAUAAUCUCUCGACACAAGUCUUCAAACCUGGUCUACUUCAGUGUAAUCUUAUCAAUGAAUGGAGAAACAUGACUGUCCAGCUCUUACACAAGCCAGAAACCCAGGAGUCACUUUUUGAACAACUCCCUUCCUCUCUCAUUGUUCGUAUUCAUUCCUAAAUAUUCUAUGAUUACCCACUUGUCCCCACCUCCAUGGCCAUCAGCACUACUCAAAACUAAAUAGUCACUAUCUGUUUUCUGGAGACGGGAGUGUCCUAACUGGUUAAUCCUAGAAACUUUUGUGUCUCUUUACAUGGUUUUCACGCUGGAUUUAUCUAAAUAGAUAUGAAAUGAUAUCAUGUGCUCCAUCUCCUAUAUGAAACACUUCAAUGGAUUCUCAUUACAAUCAAUGUGACUUAUAAACUCUACAAUGUCUUAGCUCCUUUUUACAGAUUACGCCCAAACCACAUUGGACCGUGUCGAUUUUAUUAUAAGACUUCAGCAUAUGCUAUUUCUUUUACCUGGAACACCAUCAUUCAUUCAUACCUUCAAACACA
rnacentral:lncRNA from 1 species